GCCACACGCUCGCUGCGCCUGCGUGCGUGUGCUCGCCUCCCACCCUCCCCGCACUAGCUCUGCACUUUCCCUGGCAGUCGUCCCUUGUUCCUGACUUCCUGCCUGAGCGCAUCCGGCCACCUUCUAUCCGCCCGCCAGUCCCCGCCGGCCUCCGCGGAUCAUCUGCCUGGGAUCAAGAUCCGUCGAGGCCGAGGCACCCGCGCGCCAAAGAUCGUUUCUUGAUCUAAAUUUGGGUGGUCGUAGGGAUCAAAGCUCGGUUCUCUGCGGUGCAGUUGAGAGGGGUAAAAGUUGACUCUGAUUUGUUGAGGUGUCUGGGUGUGAGAGUCGGAUGGGUUCUGUGUGAAAGCUGGUGUCUCUAUAGUAGUUCGAAAGGUUGAGCAAUUUGGUUUAGAUACUGUGGCGAGGGAGAAGGAAGAUGGUUUCUUGGUCAGGGGGGGCUUUAGCCUGUAGGGUUAGGGAGUAGUGCUGUUCAUCUUAUCUAUGCUCUGUGUGCUGUUAAAUAUCUGAAUUGGAUUCUUUGUGUAUUUUCCAAUGAGAAUAGUUAGUUGCAUUAUUUGCUCUCAAUAUAAGAAGGACGAUAAGCCUUUGAUCUAAAAUAUAAUAAUUACUUGGAUCAAAUUGGCUUUAGUUUCUUGAUGGGUUGUAUGACAGCAUGUGCAGUUUAAGAUUUUUGCUGUUGUUGUGAGGUAAAGAGAAAGAAUAGCUAGCUUGAUAUGACUUCUUGGACUGUUCAUAGUGUUCUUGUGUUGUUGGAUUUGAAAGGCUGGCUAAUUUGGUAGGUUAAUAUAGCAACCAGUAGUUAUAACAUAAUUUUUAUUUGCAAGAUUAGAAAAUUGUAUUGAGUUCUUGAUGCAGAUUCAAAUAGACUUUUUAUUGCUGGUUUGAUCCUUG
rnacentral:lncRNA from 1 species